UGUUACCCCGCUGGCCCGUAGCUAACUAAAGAUAGUUCCCUGAUUUCUUUUGAUACAAAUGAUUAACUGCGUUGUCUGCGUUUUGAAGAAAACCCUGCGGUUAAACAGCUCGAUUACCACCAGCCGUGGAAUAUUAUAAACCAAACUCCUGGUAAAAAUAAGAUUUAAGGAGCUGGCGUCACCCAGGAAGAGCAGGCUAAUGUUAGCUGCUAACUUAGCUUUUAGGAGAAGACGCUUUUUUCGUGUGUGUAGCCGUGUGUGUCACUCGGAGAGGAUGGUACCUGGUCAACAACAACAGGCUCGAAGAAUCUCAGGGAACUUUGUGAGAGGAUUACAAAACAUAAAAGCAGCAGGACAACGCUGUAAAACUGAAAGACCCAAAUGGACAGCGCACACAAACAGGGAGUUUAACAGCCAGGAGAAACAGUCUAUCAAAUGGUAUCAGUGGUGGAUCAGAGAGUGAGGUGUUGUCGGUGUUCCUGCGCCAUUCACUCAGCGGAGGCAAGCUUUUUACCGCUGCUCAGGUGAAUUGCAUCACAGCAGGACAAUGCAGAAGGGACCCCAUAUCCAUGACGUGCCGUUUCUCCGUGACUGCUGUGAACCAUUGUCACCUCUCAGCAACUCCAUUGAUAUGUCGAGAGAAAGACAGCUUACACCUCUGCCACUCUGCACUGUUCUUAUCUCGAUGACUUUAUUAUACAAUAUUCAUUGUAGUUUUCUUGCUGUGGAUGGCAUCAUCCUUGAGUAUCUCUUUCAAGAAAAGUACCUUGCAACUUGUGUAUGUUUCAUAUUGCGAGCCAUCAGUGGUCUUCCGCUUAAAGAGAAACUGAACCCCAGAGUUUUGGCUCAAGUGCCUCUACACUGGAAAUUAAAAAAAUGUCUCUAGAAUACUAAAAAACCAACAGCAUGGGAGAGGGGCUUAGGGGUGUUUGGUAACAAGCUGCCACCAUGCGUCACCUCCCACUGGAUCAGCCAAUAGAAAAAUUCAAUUGCAAUAGCUGGGUUUCAACCAGUAGGGGGCACUAUGCAUGUCGUGAAACUUCAAUUAGUAGCCUGGGCUAUUAUUUGCUAAAAUCACUCAACAAGCUUAUAUUUGGGACAGACAUUAUAGGACACACAAAAUACGAUCAAAUUGUUGAUUUGAGCUAGGAUGACUAUUACUUAUUUAAAAAUUAGGCACAUUAAUUAUGUAUCCUUAAUUAGAUCUUGCUCUGACAGACAGGGCAGGGAGUGUUAUGACACUCCAUCUGCACUCGAGGAUAACGGCACCUGACACAAUACCACUUUAUUCUGUUAAAACAAUAUUCAUAACUUGGAUUCAUUUUAAUGAAAAACUUUUGAUUGUUGUGAUCAGUGGACCCCUAUGGACUAAAGGGAGAUAAAUAACUAACUGGGUAAUUAAGAAAUAGAAACACAUUCUGACUUAAUGAGAGCAUUAGAGUUAGGGAGUCAACACUUUUUUUUUCUUCGUGCCUCUUGUUUACCAUGCCUGUAAAUCUGAAUUAAUUAUUCUCUGGUGCUCAGUAAAGUGAACUGAAUAACUGCAUUGUGAAGAAUCUAACCAGGCUAAUGUGAUGUAGCAUAUCUAUACUGACAAACGUUUAAACAUAUGUAUUUGUGUGAUCUAUACAGCUAUCUUAUGUUAGCUCAAGUGGACAUAGCCACUUACCUGGUUUUAUACAUCCAGAGAACGUCUAAAAAAAAUAAGCUGCUUGGCAACCAGACCAGGUGUCUAAUUGAGACAGGCCUAUAUUUGUUAAAAUGUGUUGCAACACCAGGCUAGUAAAAGGGACUGGGCGUUUAUUGGGACUAGGUUUUUAAUCUAAGUUUUUCGGUUUUUAUAACACAUAGAAUUCAAAUACUUGCACUAAAAUGUCGAGAUGGACCUGAUUUAAUCAACAACACUAAUAAAUACCUGUAUACAUUGGUUUUCAGCACUCUUAACAGGUUUCCAUUUAUCUCUGAAUGCUUGAGUAUGAAUAAAGGGUAUGU